rnacentral:rRNA from 1 species
UGAAUAAUGCCUAGGAAUCUGCCUGGUAGUGGGGGACAGCGUCUCGAAAGGGACGCUCAUACCGCAUACGUCCUACGGGAGAAAGCAGGGGACCUUCGGGCCUUGCGCUAUCAGAUGAGCCUAGGUCGGAUUAGCUAGAUUGGUGAGGUAAUGGCUCACCAAGGCGACGAUCCGUAACUGGUCUGAGAGGAUGAUCAGUCACACUGGAACUGAGACACGGUCCAGACUCCUACAGGAGGCAGCAGUGGGGAAUAUUGGACAAUGGGCGAAAGCCUGAUCCAGCCAUGCCGCGUGUGUGAAGAAGGUCUUCGGAUUGUAAAGCACUUUAAGUUGGGAGGAAGGGUUGUAGAUUAAUACUCUGCAAUUUUGACGUUACCGACAGAAUAAGCACCGGCUAACUCUGUGCCAGCAGCCGC